rnacentral:rRNA from 1 species
AUCUGGUUCAGGAUGAACGCUAGCGGCAGGCUUAACACAUGCAAGUCGAGGGCAGCGGGAUGUAACAAUACAUUGCCGGCGACCGGCGGAUGGGUGCAUAACGCGUAUGCAACCUACCUUAUACAGGGGAAUAACCUUUCGAAAGGGAGACUAACACCCCAUAGUAUUGAUUUAAGGCAUCUUAGAUUAAUUAAAUAUUUAUAGGUAUAAGAUGGGCAUGCGUAUGAUUAGCUAGUUGGUAAGGUAACGGCUUACCAAGGCGACGAUCAUUAGGGGUUCUGAGAGGAAGGUCCCCCACACUGGUACUGAGACACGGACCAGACUCCUACGGGAGGCAGCAGUGAGGAAUAUUGGUCAAUGGGCGCAAGCCUGAACCAGCCAUGCCGCGUGCAAGGAAGACGGCCUUAUGGGUUGUAAACUGCUUUUACAUAAGACUAACCGUAUAUUUGCGAAUAUACCUGAAUGUAUUAUGAGAAUAAGGAUCGGCUAACUCCGUGCCAGCCGCCGC